ensembl:rRNA n-R5s205 nuclear encoded rRNA 5S 205
GCCUGCAUUCCUCAGGAUCUUGUGCAACAGUUCCUUCCACUCGUCUGAUCUCGGAAGCUAAGCAGAGUUGGGCCUGGUUAGUACUUGAAUGGGAGACCACCCGGGAAUACCGGGUGCUGUAGGCU